UUUUAUUAUCUUUAUUAUUAUCUUUAUUUAUAGAAUUACGGUAAAUUAAAUGGUAAUAAAUGGUUGGCUAGAAACAAUCAAAUUGGAUCAAUUUUCUCGUCGUUGAAAGUGAGAUUAAAUUUCAUCAUUUAUUAAAUGUUUCGUUGAUUUUGAUAUUAACAAUUCUACGUAUUUUAAAAAUGCAAUCAUUCUCGUUAUUUACAUCUUCCUAUUAAAACAUUUUAAUUACAUAAAAUUAAAAACAAUAAUAAAAUAUCCCUAUCACAAAGUUUCGAAAAAAAAAGUACCUUCUCUUGUUAUUAAAUUAAAACUAGCACAAUAAAAUAAUUAAUUCACCGAUUUCGAUCCUUUUCGAAUCUAGGAAACAAGGGCAAAAACGAAAAUUGGCAAAAAUUCACCGUAACGUUAAUUAAACAACCUCUGUUUUAGGUACAUGAAAUAAGAGAUACCCACUAGCUGUCCAAAUUCCUUAUUUCUUUUACCAUGAAAAGCUCGCCAAGGUCUCUGACGUUAAUUAAUCCCGCGCCAAGCCAAGCCAAGCCAAGCCAAGCCAAGGCUACCUGGCCACCAGCUUCGAGGGCCGUUUCACAUCGUGCACACUACUUUUCAGACGACGACGAAUCGUCUUUGGGUGGGUAGCAUUAAAAUGUAAAACUGUGCGGAAUUACAAGAGAUUUCCGCGGGAAAACAGGCUGCGCGGGAGAACUCGAGGACCGAUGUGAACAGGCCUGCGAUUCGUUUUAAUAACGGCGUAGCGAACGCCCCGUCCAAGCGUGGACUUUUUAAUUAAGAAUGGCGGCCGAAAGUGUCGAAGACUUUCCGCCUGGUGGCACUGUAAAAUACGUAGGGAACAUUUUUCUUCGCGAGAAGAUUAAAAAAGACAUUGAGCGAAAUUAAUGUUUCUGUGUUUGUAAAUACAAGUGUCUUGGACAGAGUAUCCGUAACAUUUAAAUAGAGAGUGUUACGAUGGAGUGAAUUAUUUGAUAAAGUAAGAGUGGAGUAUUUAAAUAUUGGGAGAUACAUACAAUGAAACGGAAACGAAUGUGUAACAAAUGUUCAAUCAAUGAAAUAAACGCAAAAGUUAAUAUACACGAAAACGUUGAGGUAAUUUAAUUAAUUUUAUAAAUAAUUUUAACUCGUGUUAAAUGAAACGAGACGGGAAGAAAGUGGAGUAACGAAGACAGAAUGCAAAUUUCAAUUUUUUCUUUUUUUGGCAUCCGGAAUUCUCCAAAUAUAUUUAUAUCCAUAUUUAUUGUAUGUAUUUAUAAAUACACGUCUGUUUUAUGUGUU